rnacentral:rRNA from 1 species
AGGACGAACGCUGGCGGCGUGCCUCAUACAUGCAAGUGGAGCGACGAACCAGGGUUUACCCUGGGGCAAAGCCGCGAACGGGUGAGUAACACGUGGGUUACCUGCCCCGAUGAUUGGGACAACCCGAGGAAACUCGGGCUAAUACCAAAUGUGCUCCUGGUCGUGAUGACCAGGUGGAAAGGAAGCUUCGGCCUCCGCAUCGGGAUGGGCCCGCGGCCCAUUAGCUAGUUGGUGGGGUAAUGGCCUACCAAGGCGACGAUGGGUAGCUGGUCUGAGAGGACGAUCAGCCACACUGGGACUGAGACACGGCCCAGACUCCUACGGGAGGCAGCAGUAGGGAAUCUUGCGCAAUGCGCGAAAGCGUGACGCAGCAACGCCGCGUGGGGGAGAAGGCUUUCGGGUUGUAAACCCUUUCAGCAGGGACGAAGCGAAAGUGACGGUACCUGCAGAAGAGCGCCGGCUAACUACGUGCCAGCACGCCGC